GACGAACGCUGGCGGCGUGCUUAACACAUGCAAGUCGAGCGGUAAGGCCCUUUCGGGGGUACACGAGCGGCGAACGGGUGAGUAACACGUGGGUGACCUGCCUUUAGCUCUGGGAUAAGCCUGGGAAACCGGGUCUAAUACCGGAUAUGACUCCGCGGCGCAUGUUGUGGGGUGGAAAGCCUUGUGCGGCUGAGGAUGGGCCCGCGGCCUAUCAGCUUGUUGGUGGGGUGAUGGCCUACCAAGGCGACGACGGGUAGCCGGCCUGAGAGGGCGACCGGCCACACUGGGACUGAGAUACGGCCCAGACUCCUACGGGAGGCAGCAGUGGGGAAUCUUGCGCAAUGGGCGAAAGCCUGACGCAGCGACGCCGCGUGAGGGAUGACGGCCUCGGUU
rnacentral:rRNA from 1 species